rnacentral:rRNA from 1 species
GGGGAAUUGGCCGGCGUGCUAUACAUGCAGUCGAACGAACUCUGGUAUUGAUUGGUGCUUGCAUCAUGAUUUACAUUUGAGUGAGUGGCGAACUGGUGAGUAACACGUGGGAAACCUGCCCAGAAGCGGGGGAUAACACCUGGAAACAGAUGCUAAUACCGCAUAACAACUUGGACCGCAUGGUCCGAGUUUGAAAGAUGGCUUCGGCUAUCACUUUUGGAUGGUCCCGCGGCGUAUUAGCUAGAUGGUGGGGUAACGGCUCACCAUGGCAAUGAUACGUAGCCGACCUGAGAGGGUAAUCGGCCACAUUGGGACUGAGACACGGCCCAAACUCCUACGGGAGGCAGCAGUAGGGAAUCUUCCACAAUGGACGAAAGUCUGAUGGAGCAACGCCGCGUGAGUGAAGAAGGGUUUCGGCUCGUAAAACUCUGUUGUUAAAGAAGAACAUAUCUGAGAGUAACUGUUCAGGUAUUGACGGUAUUUAACCAGAAAGCCACGGCUAACUACGUGCCAGCAGCCGCGGUAAUACGUAGGUGGCAAGCGUUGUCCGGAUUUAUUGGGCGUAAAGCGAGCGCAGGCGGUUUUUUAAGUCUGAUGUGAAAGCCUUCGGCUCAACCGAAGAAGUGCAUCGGAAACUGGGAAACUUGAGUGCAGAAGAGGACAGUGGAACUCCAUGUGUAGCGGUGAAAUGCGUAGAUAUAUGGAAGAACACCAGUGGCGAAGGCGGCUGUCUGGUCUGUAACUGACGCUGAGGCUCGAAAGUAUGGGUAGCAAACAGGAUUAGAUACCCUGGUAGUCCAUACCGUAAACGAUGAAUGCUAAGUGUUGGAGGGUUUCCGCCCUUCAGUGCUGCAGCUAACGCAUUAAGCAUUCCGCCUGGGGAGUACGGCCGCAAGGCUGAAACUCAAAGGAAUUGACGGGGCCCGCACAAGCGGUGGAGCAUGUGGUUUAAUUCGAAGCUACGCGAAGAACCUUACCAGGUCUUGACAUACUAUGCAAAUCUAAGAGAUUAGACGUUCCCUUCCGGG